UCUUAUCUUUUCAGUCACUGCCAGUCCUCCCCCACAGUUCUAUCAUAUGGUUCCCUGACCAGGAACAGCAGACGAGAGACUCCUGGGGCUGGUUCUCAGUUUUGGGUCCCCUGCUGUUCAGGACCAGGACCGGACUGCAUCCUGCAUUAAUUCCUCACUUCUACACUCAGGAGCUGUAAGUUUGUCACUACCAGUUCACAAACAACACCAACCAAAUUUACCACAGCCCUCACAGGAAAUGUCGACACUGCCAGAUUCAUCACUGACAGAAAAUUGCUGCCGAAGACUGAGAGAGCUCAGGGCCAGCAGCCCCCUUUGUGGGUGUCCGUCUCAGAGUUCAAGUUCCACUAAAACUCCC
rnacentral:lncRNA from 1 species